rnacentral:rRNA from 1 species
GUUUACAGCCACACCUCCCUCCGCCCGCCCAAUCUCAACUGAUCUCAGAAGCUAAGCAGGGUCAGGCCUGCUUAAUACUUGGAUGGGAGACCGCCUGGGAAUCUCAGGUGUGCUGUAAGCC